UUUUGGGCUCUUCUGCGUGUGCCGUGUGAAUCACCAUUCAAUAUCAAUUCAUAACCAAUUAGACCCAUUCCCAUAAAGAUAAAAAGUAAAAUCAAUAUUUAUUUAUUUUUAACAAAUUUCACCAACACAUCAUCUUUAUUUUUUCUUCUUUUGCUCAUUCUUUUGUUUCUUUUCACCAUCUUUGGAAACAAUAAACACGACACAAACACCUAAAAAACGUGCAACCUUAAAUAACGUUAGACCCACAAGCAACGACGAAAACCACAAACUUCGAUGACUCAUCCUUGCAAAAAAUCUCGUGAUAAUACACCAUUUUCACAAAAUGGGUGGUUUUGCACACAAGAAGAUCAAGCUUAAGAAAGGGUUUGGUAUCUGAUGCGUAUCAUGCAAGUGUAUGUGGUCAAGUAGCAAUAAAAUAGUGUAAGAUACCGAGUAUCGUUCUCAGGGAUGACUUUGGAUGGUUUAAUACUCAACUAUUUUAGAAUUAAAGUAACUUUAGCUAAGGAAAUUGGACAUUGGAUUUAGUGUAGUUAAAGUUCAGAUUAAGCAAGGGAGAAGAUACAUUGGAUAGUGUUUCAAUAAACAAGAUGUUCUAGGAUGAUGAAUUAAUUACUUAUUUCAUUGAUUAAUAAAUUGGCAUUUCAUGAAAUUUAGUAUUAA